UCUCCAGCCAAAUGCGGGAGAUUUGGCAGGUGGACAGCAGCAGCCGGCCAGGCAGUCACUGCACUUGCUGCGUCUAGUCUAUUGUUGUCUGGAGGGGGGGAGAGGGAGUUGUUUGUUUGUUUUGUUGUUUGGCCUCUUUGUCUCUUUUGUUCCAAGCAGUUAGUUUGCUCCUUUCCCAGACACUGGGCUGAUGGAAGAGCUUUAUGGAUUUUUCUUAAAGGGACAGGAUUAGCUAGUUUACCAGUGUAGCAUUAGUGAUGCCUCAGUCCUAACCAGUUUCUACCUAACAGGCUAUAUAUAUAUACAUCUGUACUAUUUUAAAAGAUCAGAGUAAGGAUGGAGAGUUAGUAUUUUUGCUGUUUUUGUGACUGGUUAACAAGAAUAAACGGGUCAAGUUCACCCUCCCCCCCCCCCAAGCGUCCUCCUCCAGGGUUGCCAACACUGCCAGGGGAAAGAAGGAAGGAAGGACAAAAAGAAGAAACCCCUACAAACCAAAGUAAAUGGAAACCAUACAUAAAUAGCUCCAAACAUUGGUACAUGUUCUACCCCUCUUUUUUUAACCUAGGCAUCAAGAUGAGAAAUAUAAACUCAAGGCUUUAAAUAACCACCAGAAGAAGGGCUUUGAAGGGAUAGGGGUGACUGGCCACCAGUCCCCUGACGCUCACCAGGCAGGCACCCAAGGCUCCCCCUGGCCUCACACCCAGACCUGUUUCCUGUAGGCCCUUCCCAGGCUCCAACCCAGAGGACAGACACUGGGCUGGGGGCUUGGGGAGCCUGUUUUGGGUCACCCCUUGGGGCUUGGCCUUCCGGAAGGAAGGGACUGUUAGCACACUCAGGGUGUCCUAUGCCGGUGGUGUCAGAGGGUAGAGUCACUCAGCUGACCUGAGAGCCGCGUCUUAUUUGUUUGAGGAGGGGUAGAGGAAAGGGGUAUCCCGCAAGCCUCUGACUUUUUUGUUUCCGCAGAGACUCCUAGCUUCGCGUCCUUCCUAGUAAUUUAAAUCAGUUUUGGUCUAACGCAGACAGCUUCUGAAGGAAAUGAAAUUUCAAAACACUCCCAAAUUCAUCCACGUUUGAUUUUGAAUUCCAUCUCUAGGCCUCCCUCCAAAAUAAUGCCCAGUCCUUUUUCUUCAUCCUAACUACGCUUUUCCCUUGCUUGCUUUGAAGUCUAGGGUGCUGGAGAUUAAAAAUCAUUACAUACAAUCCAAGGGCUUGAGGCCCUAGGAAGGGUUCAGAGGGGGUGGAGGUGGGAGAGGGAAGUGGGUGCUCCUUUGCCAACAGGAUCUUUUAUGUUAGAAGCAAACAGAUCCGGAGUGGACUCUUCUGCCCUGGAAAGUGCGGCUGCCACAGUCGGAGGGUGCAGGCUGGCUCUGGGGGCAAAGCGGGCUGUCACCUCCGCCCCACCCUCUGGGAGUUUGCUACUUAAGAGGUACACAAUUCUGUCAGCCGCUGGGGUUUGGGGUGGCAGGGUGAGGAGUUAAAAAGCAAGCUGCUUACACCUACAACUUAUCCACCGCCCCCCCCCCCCACCAUAACUUUUCUCCUCUCGGCCACCGUCCCCCUCCUUUUUUCAAAGCUGCCAUAGGUGUCCUGGCCCUUCGUCAUUGCGAAGUUUUUGCUUCUGCUCAGGUGCCAUUUGAAGGGGCCAGGGAAGUCCCGCCUUUCCAGGGGAAAGGAGGAGGGGAUGCUGGGGGGGCGAGGAGAUGGGACCUUGGUUCCCGGCGGGCCCAGUCCGAGAGAGGCCUGUGGGAGGUGCGGCCGGAGGGAGUGAGGCAGCACGUGGGACACGUGUUUGCCCAAGGUUUGGAAAGAGAGGAUGGUGUGGGGCGCGGGUCUCCCGAGACUCCUGGGGGAGGGGGCAUUGGUAGGCAGCUUCGAUUUGGGUGGACGUCUGACGUCCCAGGUCGCACGAGGUAACCGAAAUCCUGCUAACCUUGAGCGUAGAACUUGAUUCGGAUCUGGGCACGCAGGCGCAGCCCCGCUCAACCCGUUAGCUCCCACGGACAUCGCUUAGGGGCAGGCAUCCUCGGUGGCCAACGACCUGAGGAGCACACCCGGCACGUGGAAGGAUCAAAGCAAAGUGCUGGCCACGACCCUGGCGGGGUCAAGUCCGAUUCCAGAACCAGUCCAGCGGGGUUCAGGAAGGGCCCUGCAACCCCAGGCCCGUGAGUCCGCCCCGCGCCAUCCGAGGGGGAUUUCGUUUCUAUUCCCCGCACGUGUCCCAGCGGCGCACCAGGAGAUCCAGUUUCGCCGGAACGUUCCCGUUGACUUGUUGGUUUGAAAGUUGAGGCCCCGGGGUGGUAAGGCUGGCCACAAAAAUUUCAAACCCCGCUAAUCCUAGACAAAAUAAAAACACAAUAGGCCACAAACCAACCAACUUGGAGCACAUUCUGUGGUGGUCUCCUGGCUGGGCACAUGGAACCGCGCAACCUGGAGGGAGUGAACCUUUCUACUUCUAAUGCCCAGUGUUGUGUGGGAAGACCUCAGGAUGGAGUUGCAGCCGGGUCCCCCGUCCACCGCAUGCGCCCGUCUUCUAAAGAAGAAUGAAAACAACCCCCCAAACCGGCCGCAUCCAAAGCUCCGCGGGGUGGGGGGCAAGGGGCGCCGGAAGCUUGCCUGGAGCCCGAGGUUUGGCACGAAUUUGCCUCCCACCGAGACGCAGGGUCUCCCAGGGAGACGGAACCCAGCCGGAGAAAUCGCGGCCUGGGAGCCCCUGGCCCCCACUCGGGAGCCAACCCGCCCAGCGCGAAGAGUGCAUCCCCCGAUCCCCACGCCGGGGAACUGCAAAGCAGGAGGACGCUCAAGGCUCCAGCAGGGUGGAAUCCUAGAGACAAAAAAAAAUCUGAAAAGAAAAAAAUAAAUAAAUUUGAACAAAACUAAACUACAAGCCCGCUGGUCCCCGCCGAAAGCGAGGUGGGGGAGGAGGGGGCGGGAACGGCCGAGGCGCAGAGAGUGGGGGAUGCGAAACGAACUCCGUCCCCUGCAGAGUCGGUGCCUUCGGGGGCUCCAGCACCGCGCGCUCCCGCCGGCAAGGUUUGCAGGACCCUCUGAAGAACCCUCCCAUCAUGGAAGGGAGAAAAUGAAACUCUCUACCAGCGUCUAUUAGGGAAGCUAAAUUUCUCUCUUUCCGGCAAGUUUCCCAAACCUCAUGACUCUCAUUUCCAGACCAAAGAACAAUGCCCUCCUUCUCCCUGAAGUGUAUGAACAGGACUCCCCCUCAGAGCUGAGCCAGACCCUGGAUUCUCAAGGGGUUGGUAACGAGAAGAGAGGAACAGCCUUCUAAGAGUGAAGCCCUCAAGACGUUUCCAAGCUGCCUGGACAAAGGCUUGGAAUGACUACAAUAGUGAACCAUCCUGCCUUGGACCUGAAUCUAGAUCGAUGACCUAAUACAUCUUUUCCAACUCUGACUGCCAUGGUUUUAUGAGCAUCAAGGACUGGGCGUCUGCCAUUGUCAACAAGUAAGGCCUCUCCAGAGCUUGAACAUCCACAGAAACUCAAGUACCCCCCUCCCCCCCGGAAAGCACAGAUCGCCCAGUCUCCCAGGGCUCUGCGUGCUGCCUCUAGCUUUCACGUGUGACACAGAAACUCCUCUUUGGCAGGAUUAAUUCUUAAAUAAAGGAAGUGUGUCCGUUA